GCUAGUUGCUACUGCUAUAUCAUCUGCAAAUAUAAGCACAGUAAUCUUUUGCCCCUGUACAAUAUCCCUAAAGUUGUCCUACUUCUAAUGAUGUUUAUCGUGUCUUCGAUAUAUGAUUUAAAAACUAGCGGUGACAGUGUGCAACGUAACGACAUUACAAUCGAAUAGAAGCUUAGCAGGGAUUGUUUAUAUUAAUGGGAUAUUUUGCUGAAUAUAAACAUUCUGAAUAUGUAUUUUUACAAAAAAAGUCAAUAUUUAAAAAGGAAUAUAACUAAUUUUACACCGCACUAUUCCUAUGUUCUGGCUGGCAGAUUCCCUUCCUAAUAUUCUACGUUGCUGCUGAAGUUCUACAACUGACUGUUGCUCUUUAUACAAACUAUAUAUCACUCUUCUAUCUCUGCAUCUCAUCCCUACUUUUUUAUGUAUGUUUGACAUCUUGUCAAAUCUUUUUCUAAAUCUCAAAUCCUAUGUACGCACUCUUUUCUUUUCCUAUCGUUUUCUAUAUUGUUAGCUGUAAAUCUAAAAUAGCUUCCCGCAUUCCUUUACUUCUUUUAAUCCCAAAUUGGUCUUUUCCUAACAGUCUUUCCUCCCUUUUUCCAUCCUUCUUUGUACUGCGUAUUCUAGUUAUGAUUUUUGAUGCAUGGAAAGUUAAUUGUUCUAAGUUUCUCGCAUCUAUCCUCCUCUCUCUUUUAUGGUACGGCUAUUAUUAGGUUCCGUUUAUAAUCCUCCGGGACUUUCCCCGUCUCGUAAAUGUGACUAAUUAACCUAAACAUACCAUCUCUAACCUCUUGUCCAACAUGUUUUAAGAUUUCCGCCUGUUUCCAAUCUAUACCUGGUUCUUGCUUAUUCUUUAGGUUUUUCAAUAUUGAAUCAAACUCUUCUCUCAUUAAGGGGGAUCCUAACUCACCUAUCUCCACUCUAUCUUCCUUCUUUAAUAAUGCAUCUGCAAGAAAACAAAAAUUUACCUAAACAUAAGUAAGAGGGCGCUAGCGUUCCAUAGGAGCCAAAACAGCGGCGGAAUAAUGAAGCGACUUCUGUCAAUCUUCAAUAAGGACGAAAUGACUAUUUUAAUCUUAAAGGCGAUGGCGAUCCGAUUCGAAGGACAUUUCGAUGUUACAAAAACUCUGGGAAAAGCAUGCAAGCGAUUGUAUUGGCUACGAAGUAGAAGCAAUGUGGAAAGCUAGUGCAGAAUAUGCGACAUGCGCCACCAGUAAGGGACCGAAGACGAAAAGUCCCGGACGAAUGCAGCAGUACAACGUGGGAGCGCCAUUUGAAAGAAUCACAGUUUAACGUGGCAGGACGUUCCCCAUUUUUUUUUCCGAAAAUUCGGAUCGUUUCACUUAGAAGCCAUAUUUUUUCUAAAAAUAUAUACAAUUUUUCUAGUAUUUGUCCCGCAAAAAAAGUCUAGGGAGAAAUUAUUUUAAAAAAUAAACUAUUUCGUCUGCACCAAUUCAUUAUGCUAUGCAUACAAUAGUGCGAUUCGAAAGUAACCGCAUGAAAACCAGAUACGAUCGACAGUCCAACUAUAUAUUUCAAUAAAAGCAACAAAGUGUGGCUAUACAAUCCAUCAAGACGAAAGGGACGUUGCACGAAAUUACAAUAAACUUAAGGAGGCCUCUACGCCGUUACUUAGAGUAUCAACGUCUUCAAAUGCAAAAGGUAUCUCUGGUCAAAAUGAAGGUCGUCCAUUUUGACGAGCGUUGCUUCUUACAGGGGCAACGUCAGACGUCGGUGAACGUAAGUGAUCAGUGUAGGCAACUAACCAUACGUAAACAUGCGUCAAGAGACGUACAGUGGGUUGCGCCAGUGAUAAAGACAACGCAAAUUAGGAAAAGCGAGGAAGAGAAACAAUUAGUGAUAUUGUAAUUGAUUUCUAAGGUGGUGUUAAAUAGUUAAAUAAACCAGUAUAACCAGCGAACUAUAACAAGUUUAUCUGAAUCUUGUGAUGUUUUCGUGACAGAACCAGAGAAGAGAGCCGUAUACACUGAGCACACUCGCAAAAAAACAACACAAAUUUUAUGCACUGUUAAUGUAAUUAAACAAAUUAAAAAAGAUAAUAACUUUCCGCUAGAAGUGUUAACUUUCCAAGAAUCUCAAAAAAUCUAAAAAUUCAAGAUGAUUUUUUCUGCCGCUAAACUUAUUUUCUAUGCGUGCGCAUUCUUCUUUAGUAAAAUAGACGCGGCUAAUCCAAUAACAUUGUCGCCGCGAGACGUUGGCGUAUCGAAGCUUGCGGGCAUAGUAUCGCCAGUUGGUGGUUGGGGAGAACCUGCCGGCUUGGGGUGAUACCCAAAUAAUCUUCUCUGACAGAACACACCGCGCGGUGUAUCUUCCGAACGUUAUCGAAACUAAUUGAAUAGAUCCGAAAUCAUUUAGAAUAUAAAAAACUGCCAUAUUUCAUUCAUAAUUUUAUUCACAAAAAGGGGUAUGUCCAAAAAAAUGAUAGCAUAGAUUACCGUCUUAGCGAGAGAAUGCAUCAUAUUCGGAAAAAAUCGGAAAUAUUCGGUAGAUUCACCGCGUGAUGUUUUCUGUCUAGAAAACAUCAUUAAAAAU
rnacentral:lncRNA from 1 species